rnacentral:misc_RNA from 1 species
GAAUUAAUAACUUUUUUACAUCAACUUCUUUUUGUUAUUAUCGUGAGCCGUAUAUUCGUAUAUAAUUUUUUAAAUGCAUAAUGUUAAGUGAACUCAAUGUUAUUUAUCAUUUUGUAAACUCUAUUUAAGAAUAAAGUGAAAGUCAUUCCGAUGAACUGUUACACAAGUAUUUGGUAGACCUGAAAUCAUUUUGAUUGGUCAACAGAACACAGUCCAUCAUGGAGUACGUCGGUACUACCAAAGGUGACGAAAAUGACAAAUGUUGUAAUUCAACUUUGUGUCCAGAAAUAGUAGCCAAUUCCAUGUCAGAUGAGAAUGCAUCGGAAAAAACCAAUGUAGUCAGAACAGAUGAAGAAAAUGCUAGUGUACAACAACAACAAGAACAUACCGAAGAUGCAGCUGCUGCUACAACAUCACAAAAUAUAUCAGAAGAAAAAAUAGACUUUAAAGUAAUCUACAACAAACAGAAGAUAAAUGUUAAUUUUGCAUUAGAUGGGACCGUGGCUGAAUUGAAAACGCAUCUUCAAAAUAUUAUUUCAGUGCCCCAUGUAAUGCAGAAAGUUAUGUUUAAAGGAUUAGCCAAAGAUGAACAAACGCUUAGAAACUUGGGAGUUACAAAAGGUGCCAAAGUCAUGAUAGUAGGAUCAAAACUAGAUGACAUAUUAGCCGUAUCUAUUCCGUCAAAGCAAGAUCUCGCUGAUGAAGCUAGUUCUGCUGCAAGUAAGGAACCUUUAUCGCAACAAAAAGUACACCGUAAAGUUCUAGAUAAAGGUAUGCCGGAUGAUGUCAUGCCUGGUAUUUUAGAUAGUAAGGAACCACUACCUGAAUUUCCUAUCUCAGGUAUGUUGAAUAAAUCUGGCGGAAAGGUUAGACUUACAUUUAAAUUAGAACAAGAUCAGCUUUGGAUCGGUACAAAAGAAAGAACAGAUAAACUACCUAUGAACUCAAUAAAAGGUGUCAUUAGCGAACCAAUAACUGAUCAUCCAGAGUAUCAUAUUAUGGGUAUACAAUUAGGCACAACAGAAGCAUCAAGAUAUUGGAUAUACUGGGUUCCGGCACAAUACAUAUCAGCCAUCAAAGAUGCUAUUCUUGGAAAAUGGUGUUAUUUCUGAUCAAGUGCAAAUGGAAAUUUUGUUUUCUCGGAAAACAAUGUGUAAUCGAGUGUAAACAUUGACACAAAUACGAUUGUGCUAGUCACACACUUUUAACAGAAGAAGCGAAGAAAGAAGUUAUGAUGUUGCAUUUACUGACAUUUGAAGUUCGUCGAGAAAUAUUUCAUCUGAUUGUCAUAAUUGUGAACAUUUUUUAAUCAAUUGUUUACUUAUCAAAAAUCAAUUUAUUAGACAUUUGAAACAAUUUCGCAAUUAAAAAACAAGUUUUUCUUUUUUGUUUUAUGCAUUAACUAUAUUUAUAAAUUUUAUUAUAUCACAGAGCAUGAUAAUACUAUAUAAUUAUAUGAUAAUAAUUAUCAUAACAUUGCAUCUCUAUCUCUCUCUCUCUCUCUCUGCGAUAAAAAUUAAAACUUAUUGCUUUGUGAUAAUAAGCAAGAUAGUAAUAAACUCAAUAUUAGUGUAUACUAACAUAAAAUAACAACGAAUUCCACUCUACCUUAAAUUACAAAAUAUACUCAAACUAUUUUCACAUUGGCCUAGGGAUAAAAAUAAUAUUGUAAAGAAGAAGAAAAAAAAGAGGAAAAAAAAGAAGAUGAAAUUAUAUAUCAAAUCCUUGCUGUCUUGAAAUCCAUAUGGAUUGCAUCUCGACGAGCACAAAUAAAAGAUAUUAUGUAGCUUAUUUAGUAUUAUAACUCUUGUAAAUUAGGUUUUAUACCAUGUAAUACGUGUAAUUUAAAUGGAAGUACUGACACGAUAAAAAAAAAUCAAAAUUUAUUAUUAACAUGUAUCGAAAGAGUCGAUUCAUUGCACAUUUAUUAAAGUCUGUAUCGGAGGGUCAUUUAAAAAUAAAACUUGUAAAUUAUGUUGUGUGAUUUGGUAAAAUAAAAUGAGAAGUUUUAAAACUAUAA